GACGAACGCUGGCGGCGUGCUUAACACAUGCAAGUCGAACGGAAAGGCCCUGCUUUUGUGGGGUGCUCGAGUGGCGAACGGGUGAGUAACACGUGAGUAACCUGCCCUUGACUUUGGGAUAACUUCAGGAAACUGGGGCUAAUACCGGAUAGGAGCUCCUGCUGCAUGGUGGGGGUUGGAAAGUUUCGGCGGUUGGGGAUGGACUCGCGGCUUAUCAGCUGGUUGGUGGGGUAGUGGCUUACCAAGGCUUUGACGGGUAGCCGGCCUGAGAGGGUGAUCGGCCACAUUGGGACUGAGAGACGGCCCAGACUCCUACGGGAGGCAGCAGUGGGGAAUAUUGCACAAUGGGCGGAAGCCUGAUGCAGCAACGCCGCGUGCGGGAUGACGGCCUUCGGGUUGUAAACCGCUUUCGCCUGUGACGAAGCGGGAGUGACGGUAAUGGGUAAAGAAGCACCGGCUAACUACGUG
rnacentral:rRNA from 1 species